rnacentral:rRNA from 1 species
AUGAAGCUCUUCGGGGUGGAUUAGUGGCGAACGGGUGAGUAACACGUGGGCAAUCUGCCCUUCACUCUGGGACAAGCCCUGGAAACGGGGUCUAAUACCGGAUAACACUUCUUCGGGCAUCUGAAGAGGUUAAAAGCUCCGGCGGUGAAGGAUGAGCCCGCGGCCUAUCAGCUUGUUGGUGGGGUAAUGGCCUACCAAGGCGACGACGGGUAGCCGGCCUGAGAGGGCGACCGGCCACACUGGGACUGAGACACGGCCCAGACUCCUACGGGAGGCAGCAGUGGGGAAUAUUGCACAAUGGGCGAAAGCCUGAUGCAGCGACGCCGCGUGAGGGAUGACGGCCUUCGGGUUGUAAACCUCUUUCAGCAGGGAAGAAGCGAAAGUGACGGUACCUGCAGAAGAAGCGCCGGCUAACUACGUGCCAGCAGCCGCGGUAAUACGUAGGGCGCAAGCGUUGUCCGGAAUUAUUGGGCGUAAAGAGCUCGUAGGCGGCUUGUCGCGUCGGAUGUGAAAGCCCGGGGCUUAACCCCGGGUCUGCAUUCGAUACGGGCAGGCUAGAGUGUGGUAGGGGAGAUCGGAAUUCCUGGUGUAGCGGUGAAAUGCGCAGAUAUCAGGAGGAACACCGGUGGCGAAGGCGGAUCUCUGGGCCAUUACUGACGCUGAGGAGCGAAAGCGUGGGGAGCGAACAGGAUUAGAUACCCUGGUAGUCCACGCCGUAAACGUUGGGAACUAGGUGUUGGCGACAUUCCACGUCGUCGGUGCCGCAGCUAACGCAUUAAGUUCCCCGCCUGGGGAGUACGG